rnacentral:sRNA from 1 species
UUUAAAACUAACCUGCUAUUUUUAGGAUUUAGAAGCCCCUAUUUAUAGGCGGCGUUCCUAUUGCGUUUACGUAAUGCGAAUUUACAAAUUUAGCAAAAUCCAACCCUUAAGGUUAUACGUUAACAUUUAAAUAUUAAUAAAUUUGCACGUAAUAAUUAUGACCCCCUUAAUAAGGGCGUCCUCGUCCUAAAUAGCAAUUUUAAAUAUAAAACGGGGUAAUUUUUAAUAAACGCAAAUAAAACGCAAUUGUUUCGCGUGGGUUCCCAUUGGUAAACGGCGGUAUUGGGUUACAAAUAAUAGUUAUAACGUUAACGAUUCGUAAACCCCACCUGGUUUAAAUAUUAAUUACCUCCUUAAUUUUUAACAAAAAAAAUUUUCAAUUAAAUUUUUUUUUCCUUUAUUUUUAUUUUCCGAUACAAAAUUUCGUUAAUUUUUUGCACGCGUUAUUUUUACGUUUUGGUCGCGUUUUUUUACAUUAAAUCGAUUUUUGUUAUUUCUAUUAUAUUUUUUAAACCUGGUUUUGUGGCAGGUUUUGCCCAAAAAAACGCUCGCGUUUCCCCUGCGCCCGAUUUUGUUAAAAUUAAUAUUGGUAUAACCCAUAACCGCAUUAUUUGCAUAAAAUAUUUCCGUCGCGCCGUUAAAAUCGCCAAAAACACCGAAAAUCUCCCCGAUUUUAAAUAUAUUUAAAAAACGUUUUUUAAAACGGGUAGGAUAAACAAAUUUUGUUUUUAUUAUAAAAAAAAUUUAUAUAUUUGCAAAUUGGUAAAUUGCGUUAUUUUUGCGUUUCCCUGUUUUUUGCCGUUUUGCGAUUUUUUUGGUUAAUUUAUAUUAGGUAAUUGCAAUUAUAAAAAGCAAUUUCGUGGACCUUUUUUAUUUAUUUAAUAUUAUAAAAUUCGUUAUCCAAUUUAACAUUGGCAAAAAUUUUCCUACCGAAAUUAAAAAAUUAUUGGGGGUUUUGGUCGAUUUUAUAUUAUUUACCGAAUAUUUGGAAAUUAAAAAACGCAAACGUUUAAAUUAAAUUAACCCGUUUAAAAAUAAAACCAAAUAUUUUCGUAUUUUAAACGAAAUAAAAAUUGCAAGAAAUUAUUAUUUUAAAAUUGUAAAAAUUACGUUUUUUAAUUUAAUAAAUUUUAACGUUUUUAUUUUAAAAUUUUUUCGAUUAA